UACAUGUAUGCAAUCUGAACUUCUAAGAAAUAAGGUUUAUACAUAGUAAAAUAACACACACAAAUGAAAGACACACACUCGAGCCACAUCAACUAGCACAACUAUAACUUGCCACUUAAAUUAAGCGCAUCGUGACUGCCAUGUACAAAGCCAGUGGCAACACCAGAAAGAACAAUAUAUGGCCAUAUGCGAGUCAUUUCAAUUAUAACUACAUGAAACUUCAAUUACAAGUUAUUUACAUUGUUCAAAUUACCAUCAAACCGCUAUAUCUGCCAAGAAGAAUGGGCUUCAUUUCAUUCUCAUUGAGCCAACAUGAUUCCUAAAAAAAUACAUUCUUUUAGAAAUCUUAGUCCGUCUGUUGCCCUCUUUCUUCCCUUGUCUGUCGCUUUCACCCCAAACACAAUGUAGCCAGAAAAGUUUUAUUCAUCCACAAUCUGUACUAAACUGGAUCUAAAAAUACAGAAGCUCUGGGACGCUAAAGGUUUUGUUUUAUAUUUGAAAUUGACAACAAAACAGACAUUAAGGAUAAAUAGUGAUUGAGAAGACAGACCUUGUGUGGGUUCCCAGAAAGCUCUGUGCUUUUGAGAAAGGUGUAUGGAAAACCUUCAAGAUUUCAAGCUGUUGAGUGGAGAAAACAACACAACAAAACAAAUGGAAUAAAAGUGAAAAGAGGUAAGGCCAGAUAAAACUGAGCUGCAACUUCCACACUGCCCAUUUAGCAAUGUGAGGACUGGAGCAGGAGGGACACUGAAAUAAACUCUCACCCAGAUACUGUGCGUGGGAGCUGUCUACAGAUUGCAUGUAUUCUCUUUCCAUUUUUUUUUCUUCCACCUAAAUGUAACUCUGCUUUUCUAUCUUCUGACUGAGGAAUCACGUUUUGCUAUUAUUUAAAGGGGGGGAAAAGUUAAGAAGAAACAAAAGUUGAAUUCCUGUACAUCUACUCUGGCUUUCCCGGUGCCUGCUACCCUACGCACGCGUUGCUAGGCAACGAAUACGUCACUGGUGAGCCUCUCACGUGACUCACCCGGAAGUCCCGGUCACAGACGCCGGGAACACCUUUCUCCUGCACACCACGCUAUUUAACAGAUCUUUGGACACCACAACUUUGACAUCACUCACUGAAUUUUGAGAAAGUUAUUCACGAAGGUUUAAGACAAAGGUCAUCCCUCUUAGCUUUCCCUCUGGGUAUGUAUCCCAAAUACUGCCAGUGAAAAAUAACUUGGCCGCGAAUGACGACCACAGUCCAGGAGUUUUCGGAAAAGGUUGGUGACCCGUUGCUCCAGAGUUUCUAUUCUAGAUGUAUUCUCUGUGAUCUUGGCCAAAGCUGAGUCUAGAGAUGCUUAUAUGCGAUCAAGUUUUCUAUCAAUAUGAGGAUUCCACUUGAGAAGUGGACCAAGCAGCACCAGUGACAAUAUUUUUUUUGAAGAAUGAAAUAAGACAAGUGCUUUUCUUCCCAUUCAUCUUCUGAUCCUGUAAAGGUUUAUGGACUAGCAAUCCAAUUAAAUUAGUGAAUUGGUUGUAUACUUUUAUGUGUUUUAAUCUCAGCAGUGAUUAUAAUGUACAUUAGUUGAGUCAUUUGCAUAACUGUUGAAACUCUGAAUUAUAUAGGAGAGACACGUGACUUUGUAGCUAUUUAAUUUUUCACCUAUUAUACUGCUUUGCAUUAUCCUUUUACCUCUAUCAAUACUUCUUGCUUUGUGUAAAGUUUGGUAUGUUGAGUGAAAUGAAUAAAGCCAAUUUAGCGAACCUACUAAAUAAAAUGAGGACAUGUCAUUGCAUUAAAAA